rnacentral:rRNA from 1 species
GGCCUAACACAUGCAAGUCGAGCGGUAACAGAUCCAGCUUGCUGGAUGCUGACGAGCGGCGGACGGGUGAGUAAUGCAUAGGAAUCUGCCCGGUAGUGGGGGAUAACCUGGGGAAACCCAGGCUAAUACCGCAUACGUCCUACGGGAGAAAGGGGGCUUCGGCUCCCGCUAUCGGAUGAGCCUAUGUCGGAUUAGCUAGUUGGUGAGGUAACGGCUCACCAAGGCCACGAUCCGUAGCUGGUCUGAGAGGAUGAUCAGCCACAUCGGGACUGAGACACGGCCCGAACUCCUACGGGAGGCAGCAGUGGGGAAUAUUGGACAAUGGGGGGAACCCUGAUCCAGCCAUGCCGCGUGUGUGAAGAAGGCCCUCGGGUUGUAAAGCACUUUCAGCGAGGAAGAACGCCUAGCGGUUAAUACCCGCUAGGAAAGACAUCACUCGCAGAAGAAGCACCGGCUAACUCCGUGCCAGCAGCCGCGGUAAUACGGAGGGUGCAAGCGUUAAUCGGAAUUACUGGGCGUAAAGCGCGCGUAGGUGGCUUGAUAAGCCGGUUGUGAAAGCCCCGGGCUCAACCUGGGAACGGCAUCCGGAACUGUCAAGCUAGAGUGCAGGANAGGAAAGUAGAAUUCCCGGUGUANCGGUGAAAUGCGUAAAAAUCGGGAGGAAUACCAGUGGCCGAAAGCGGCUUUCUGGAAUGGACCCUGACCCUGAGGUGCGAAAGCGUGGGUACAAACAGGAUUAAAUACCCC